GGGAAAGAAGCGGCCUCUUAGACUGCAGCGCUGGAGGGCCUGGCAGUCGGAGGCGGAGACCACUGCUGUGCCUCCAUAGCGUGACUGGGCAGCACACAGCUGUUAGGAGGUGUGGAAAGGCCUCCCAGCUGUGGAAACAGAUGAAAAGAAGCCCUCGCACACAAACAAACAGAAAGCGUGAGGCCCGGGCGGAGCCAUGCGCAGGUCUGUUUAUGUCCGUGAGCUGGCAUCGCGUGCCAGACAAGUGUCACCCGUGUCAACGCCAAUCCCCCAAGCAUAGAAUUGCCUUCCAUAGAGACGUUAGUCAUCACUGUUUACUGGGUCUAACCCAUCGGUUAGCUUCUAAGCUUUGAGAUCCUUAGAAGAAUAACACGGAGGAACUGCAGGGCUGUUUGUGAAUGUGAGCCUCGCUGCCUUUCCUCAGAUUGUGUGGAUGUGGGCCUCACCCCAACCGACAGCCUGCAUUCAAGUAGUGCUGCUUUUGUUUUAUUCACGCCUGUGCUUAGAUGCUGGGUAGGUUUUAUUUUUUAUUAAACUCUUGUGCAAUCCCGUUGUAACACGGAACAUUUUAUUAGACAUUUAAUUCCGCUUUAGAUUUGUACAUUGACCCGAAAGGAUAACGCAGCAUGAACAGCUUUGCAUGCUACCAGGUGGUGUUUAACUGUCAGCCUUUGCCAAAGUCACAACGAGAAGGUGUUCAAAACUGUACAGUUAACGUAACAUGUUUUCAGUUUAACGGUUGCUUAGCGGCAGGUGUUUAACUUUGUGUUUUCCACCCAGGUUAAAAAAACAGUUACAGAAAAUAAUCCAGUGCGUGCGCACAGCGGUGAUUAAAGUUAUUAUAGA
ensembl:lncRNA